CUUGAACGCUGGCGGCAUGCCUUACACAUGCAAGUCGAACGGCAGCACGGGGGCAACCCUGGUGGCGAGUGGCGAACGGGUGAGUAAUGCAUCGGAACGUGCCCAGUAGUGGGGGAUAACCAGUCGAAAGACUGGCUAAUACCGCAUACGACCCAAGGGUGAAAGCGGGGGACCGUAAGGCCUCGCGCUAUUGGAGCGGCCGAUGUCUGAUUAGCUAGUUGGCGGGGUAAGAGCCCACCAAGGCGACGAUCAGUAGCUGGUCUGAGAGGACGACCAGCCACACUGGGACUGAGACACGGCCCAGACUCCGACGGGAGGCAGCAGGGGGGAAUUUUGGACAAGGGGCGCAAGCCUGAUCCAGCCAUGCCGCGUGCGGGAAGAAGGCCUUCGGGUUGUAAACCGCUUUUGGCAGGAACGAAACGGCGCAGGCCAAUACCUUGCGCUAAUGACGGCACCUGCAGAAUAAGCACCGGCUAACUACGUGCCAGCCGCCGCCGUAACAC
rnacentral:rRNA from 1 species